rnacentral:rRNA from 1 species
CGGAGGGUGCAAGCGUUGUCCGGAUUUAUUGGGUUUAAAGGGUGCGUAGGCGGCCCGUUAAGUCAGUGGUGAAAGCCUCCAGCUCAACUGGAGAACUGCCAUUGAUACUGACGGGCUUGAGUACAGACGAGGUUGGCGGAAUUGAUUGUGUAGCGGUGAAAUGCAUAGAUACAAUCAAGAACACCGAUUGCGUAGGCAGCUAACUAGGCUGUAACUGACGCUGAGGCACGAAAGCGUGGGGAGCGAACAGGAUUAGAUACCCUGGUAGUCCACGCUGUAAACGAUGAUUACUCGAUGUCGGCGAUAAACUGUCGGCGUCUUAGCGAAAGCGUUAAGUAAUCCACCUGGGGAGUACGCCCGCAAGGGUG